UGCAUCGGCCGGGAAUCGAACCCGGGCCGCCCGUGUGGUAGGCGAGCAUUCUACCACUGAACCACCGAUGG
rnacentral:tRNA from 1 species